rnacentral:lncRNA from 1 species
CAAGCUCAAACACAUGCAACCUCGUUGUAUCUUCCAUUUUCUUUCAGAACUUCCUGAAGAUGCGAAUGUUGUAGAGCUCAUACACUUGUCGUUCUAUACUGUAUUUGGACCAGAACUUCUUGGGCGCAUCCUUUUUGUUUCUAGACAAGUGAUCACAUUCUUGCUUUCUCUCAUGAAUGACUUCUAUUAUCCUGUCAUACUCUCUUAGGAAGCUUGUUGCACUGAAUUUAGCCCCCACUCCCCUUUUGAACAGUGCAUUUGUCAUACUCUCUUCGAGGUACAGCGACUGCCCUUUGAUGCUAUAUUCUAUUGCAUCUGAUUCGAUUGCAGGCAUCUGCACUCAAUGUUUUCAGAAAGUAUAGGUAAUGAAGUGUUGUAGAAUAAACAAGAGUAUUUCUGAUGUCCCCAUUUGUCCUUUUUUUGCAUGUAUGCAUGUUUAUGCAUAUGUAGGGUGCAACAAGUAGGUAAGAAAUGCAGUAAAGCAUGUUGCAAGUCAUUGACAAGGUUUUUUGUACAAUUUUUUCUUUGAAGCCAGAGUUAUUUGUGUCAAUUCCAGUAGUCUCUUCAUACACAAGUUUCUGAUUUCUUCUAUUUAUGUGCAAAUCAGAGCUUGUAAUUUACAAGGUAGGGUGCAGAGUGUCAGUGCUUAACCUGAUUGUCCUCAGUCUUUUUUUCUGAUAAUUUUACUUUCACUGUUAAUUUUCAUGGCAUAUUAGAUUAAGUGUGAACUAGUAUCAGAUCAUAGUAAUUUGAACUACAACUUUGGACAGUACAAUUGUUUCUAAAAUACAGUCAUAUGUUCACAGCUUUAUACUGAAAUCUAAUCUGCCAUGUCUAAAAUACAGUCAUAGAUUCACAGAUACAAAUGUCCAAACAUGAUCAAAAGUAUCUGAACAAUGUACAGUUUCUCAGCACCAAACUUCUGAAAUUACAGCAGUACUACUCUUUUUGUUUGAACAAGUUUUUCCUAAAUGGAAUUCAUAGCUUCCUCANNNNNNNNNNUUUUUUUUCUUUUUCAAGCUCAAACACAUGCAACCUCGUUGUAUCUUCCAUUUUCUUUCAGAACUUCCUGAAGAUGCGAAUGUUGUAGAGCUCAUACACUUGUCGUUCUAUACUGUAUUUGGACCAGAACUUCUUGGGCGCAUCCUUUUUGUUUCUAGACAAGUGAUCACAUUCUUGCUUUCUCUCAUGAAUGACUUCUAUUAUCCUGUCAUACUCUCUUAGGAAGCUUGUUGCACUGAAUUUAGCCCCCACUCCCCUUUUGAACAGUGCAUUUGUCAUACUCUCUUCGAGGUACAGCGACUGCCCUUUGAUGCUAUAUUCUAUUGCAUCUGAUUCGAUUGCAGGCAUCUGCACUCAAUGUUUUCAGAAAGUAUAGGUAAUGAAGUGUUGUAGAAUAAACAAGAGUAUUUCUGAUGUCCCCAUUUGUCCUUUUUUUGCAUGUAUGCAUGUUUAUGCAUAUGUAGGGUGCAACAAGUAGGUAAGAAAUGCAGUAAAGCAUGUUGCAAGUCAUUGACAAGGUUUUUUGUACAAUUUUUUCUUUGAAGCCAGAGUUAUUUGUGUCAAUUCCAGUAGUCUCUUCAUACACAAGUUUCUGAUUUCUUCUAUUUAUGUGCAAAUCAGAGCUUGUAAUUUACAAGGUAGGGUGCAGAGUGUCAGUGCUUAACCUGAUUGUCCUCAGUCUUUUUUUCUGAUAAUUUUACUUUCACUGUUAAUUUUCAUGGCAUAUUAGAUUGAGUGUGAACUAGUAUCAGAUCAUAGUAAUUUGAACUACAACUUUGGACAGUACCAUUGUUUCUAAAAUACAGUCAUAUGUUCACAGCUUUAUACUGAAAUCUAAUCUGCCAUGUCUAAAAUACAGUCAUAGAUUCACAGAUACAAGUGUCCAAACAUGAUCAAAAGUAUCCGAACAAUGUACAGUUUCUCAGCACCAAACUUCUGAAAUUACAGCAGUACUACUCUUUUUGUUUGAACAAGUUUUUCCUAAAUGGAAUUCAUAGCUUCCUCAUGCCCCCCCUCUCAUCCCCAAACUUUUCUUGGCCCUGUGUUGUAGCUAUAGCUGCGAAUUUCUGAGCACUAAUUUUGCAACUAGUUUUCAGAAUCUAGUGUUCCAGAAGUGUUAUUCCUGUGACCAUAAACUAGUAAUUCAUAUGUGUUCAUAGUCUAGUUGUUCCUAGAGUUUCUCCUGCUCCAUGCUAUCUUUUCUGCCUGUGUUCUAAUCUUUGUUCUGUUAAGUUGUGUUCUUCAGCAUAUGUUAAUGAUCCUCACAGGGAGCUUGUUUUUCUUUCAGAUGUCAUGAGGUAGGAGAGAGAUCUUGGAGGAGUGAAUGCAUAAGAGGGGGGGUGUUUACCUGUGUUUUUUCUGCAUCUCCAGCCAGAUUUGUGUCCCAGAUCAUGGAGGAAUUGCCCUCUCUGGUGUGGACCCAUAAGUGGAUUUACAUUGUAAUUCCUACUGGAUUUACAGUGUUUUUCUUAGUGGAUAUCCAGUGUAAUUCCAAGUGGAUUUACACUGUAAUUACUACUGGAUUUACAGUGUUUUUCCUAGUGGGUUUCCACUGUAAUUCUAAGUGGAUUUACAUUGUAAUUCCUACUGGAUUUACAAUGUUUUUCUUAGUGGAUUUACACUGAAAUGCUUAGUGUAAUUAUUUAGUACAAAUUAUUUGGAUUGGAAGUGUAUUUUUAGCGGUAUUUACAGUGUAAUUUUAGUGGAUUUUACAGUGUAAUUUUAGUGGAUUUUACAUUGUAAUUCUUAGUGCACAUAAAGAUUUUCUAUAGUGCAUUUUUCAGUGGAUAUUACACUGAAAUUCUUUAGUUGAACUAUUAGUGUAAUUUUAGUUAUUUUCCAG